rnacentral:rRNA from 1 species
UACGGAGGGUGCAAGCGUUAUCCGGAUUCACUGGGUUUAAAGGGUGCGUAGGUGGCGCGUUAAGUUCGUUGUGAAAUCCCUGGGCUCAACCCAGGAAUUGCUUCGAAUACUGGCGUGCUUGAGGCUAGUAGGGGUCACUGGAACUGACGGUGGAGCGGUGAAAUGCGUAGAUAUCGUCAGGAACGCCGAUGGUGAAGACAGGUGACUGGGCUAGUUCUGACACUGAGGCACGAAAGCGUGGGGAGCGAACGGG